rnacentral:rRNA from 1 species
AGUGAACGCUGGCGGCAGGCCUAACACAUGCAAGUCGAGCGGCAGCGCGGGGCAACCUGGCGGCGAGCGGCGGACGGGUGAGGAAUACAUCGGAAUCUACCCAGUCGUGGGGGAUAACGUAGGGAAACUUACGCUAAUACCGCAUACGACCUGAGGGUGAAAGCAGGGGACCGCAAGGCCUUGCGCGAUUGGAUGAGCCG